rnacentral:misc_RNA from 1 species
CCGAAUUUAAUUCCGGAGUUGUAGCUGGCCUUACUGAGGCAUGUGCACGCUCUGGUUAUCCAAAUUCCUAUACCACUGUGCACUAUUCAUGAGAUAGAUGAGGGCCAUUUUGUGUGUGCAACACUGAUGGUCUUAUUCCGCUCAUGCCUUUUUAAUAUAAACACUUCCAGUAUAGACUGUAUAUUGCGUUGAACGCAUCUUAAUA